GACGAACGCUGGCGGCGUGCUUAACACAUGCAAGUCGAACGGAAAGGCCCUGCUUUUGUGGGGUGCUCGAGUGGCGAACGGGUGAGUAACACGUGAGUAACCUGCCCUUGACUUUGGGAUAACUUCAGUAAACUGGGGCUAAUACCGGAUAGGAGCUCAUGCUGCAUGGUGGGGGUUGGAAAGUUUCGGCGGUUGGGGAUGGACUCGCGGCUUAUCAGCUUGUUGGUGGGGUAGUGGCUUACCAAGGCUUUGACGGGUAGCCGGCCUGAGAGGGUGACCGGCCACAUUGGGACUGAGAUACGGCCCAGACGCCUACGGGAGGAAGCAGUGGGGAAUAUUGCACAAUGGGCGGAAGCCUGAUGCAGCAACGCCGCGGGCGGGAUGACGGCCUUCGGGGUGUAAACCGCUUUCGCCUGUGACGAAGCGUGAGUGACGGUAAUGGGUAAAGAAGCACCGGCUAACUACGUG
rnacentral:rRNA from 1 species